CUAGAUUAGAGUUUGAUCCUGGCUCAGAAUCAACGCUAGCGGGAGGCCUAAUACAUGCAAGUCGAACGGUAACAGGGUAGCAAUACCGCUGACGAGUGGCGCACGGGUGAGUAACACGUACACAAUCUGCCUUAUACUGGAGCAUACCCCCAAGAAAUUGGGACUAAUUCUCCAUAACAUAUUGAAAAGGCAUCUUUUUAAUAUUAAAACUCAGGUGGUAUAAGAUGAGUGUGCGUCUGAUUAGCUAGUUGGUAAGGUAACGGCUUACCAAGGCAACGAUCAGUAACUGGUCUGAGAGGAUGAUCAGUCACACGGACACUGAGACACGGGUCCGACUCCUACGGGAGGCAGCAGUAGGGAAUAUUGGACAAUGGGCGCAAGCCUGAUCCAGCCAUCCCGCGUGAAGGAUUAAGGCCCUCUGGGUUGUAAACUUCUCUUCUCUGGGAAUAAAAAGUGGGAUUUAUCCUGCCUUGAAGGUACCAGAGGAAUAAGCACCGGCUAACUCCGUGCCAGCAGCCGCGGUAAUACGGAGGGUGCAAGCGUUAUCCGGAUUCACUGGGUUUAAAGGGUGCGUAGGUGGCUUUGUAAGUCAGUGGUGAAAUCUUAGAGCUUAACUCUAAAACUGCCAUUGAUACUGCUUAGCUUGAAUCAAGUAGAGGUGGAUGGAAUAUUACAUGUAGCGGUGAAAUGCUUAGAUAUGUAAUAGAACACCGAUUGCGAAGGCAGUUCACUAUGCUUGUAUUGACACUGAGGCACGAAAGCGUGGGGAUCAGACAGGAUUAGAUACCCUGGUAGUCCACGCCGUAAACGAUGAUAACUAGCUGUCGGGGGUCAUGGACUUUCGGUGGCGCAGCUAACGCAUUAAGUUAUCCGCCU
rnacentral:rRNA from 1 species